AACGCCGCGUGGGUGAUGAAGCAUCUUGGUGUGUAAAACCCUGUCAGUGGGGAAGAAACGUGAGAGGAGUCACUGCCUCUCGCCUGACGGUACCCACAGAGGAAGUCCCGGCUAACUCCGUGCCAGCACCUGCGGUGACUGAGCGGGCUGGCAAGGCGCAUA
rnacentral:rRNA from 1 species